rnacentral:rRNA from 1 species
AUCCUGGCUCAGGAUGAACGCUGGCGGCGUGCCUAACACAUGCAAGUCGAACGGAGCUGCUUUGAUGAAGUUUCGGAUGGAUUUAAAACAGCUUAGUGGCGGACGGGUGAGUAACGCGUGGAUAACCUGCCUCACACAGGGGGAUAACAGUUAGAAAUGACUGCUAAUACCGCAUAAGCGCACGGUACCGCAUGGUACAGUGUGAAAAACUCCGGUGGUGUGAGAUGGAUCCGCGUCUGAUUAGGUAGUUGGUGAGGUAACGGCCCACCAAGCCGACGAUCAGUAGCCGACCUGAGAGGGUGACCGGCCACAUUGGGACUGAGACACGGCCCAAACUCCUACGGGAGGCAGCAGUGGGGAAUAUUGCACAAUGGGCGAAAGCCUGAUGCAGCAACGCCGCGUGAGUGAAGAAGUAUCUCGGUAUGUAAAGCUCUAUCAGCAGGGAAGAAAAUGACGGUACCUGACUAAGAAGCCCCGGCUAACUACGUG